rnacentral:rRNA from 1 species
UUUUAGCAACGGAUCUCUUGGCUCUCGCAUCGAUGAAGAACGCAGCGAAAUGCGAUAAGUAAUGUGAAUUGCAGAAUUCAGUGAAUCAUCGAAUCUUUGAACGCACCUUGCGCUCCUUGGUAUUCCGAGGAGCAUGCCUGUUUGAGUGU